rnacentral:rRNA from 1 species
GACGAACGCUGGCGGCGUGCCUAACACAUGCAAGUCAACUUGACUGAAGGAGCAAUCUGACAGUAGAGUGGCGCAAAGGGUGCGUAACGCGUAAGUAACUUGCCCCAAGGUAAGGAAUAACGUCGAGAAAUCGGCGCUAAUACCUCAUAAUGCAGCGGAUCCGCAUGGAUAUGUUGUUAAAGGUUUACCGCCUUGGGAUAGGCUUGCGUCUGAUUAGCUAGUUGGUGUGGUAACGGCACACCAAGGCUACGAUCAGUAACUGGUCUGAGAGGAUGAUCAGUCACACUGGAACUGAGACACGGUCCUGACUCCUACGGGAGGCAGCAGUGAGGAAUAUUGGGCAAUGCUCGAAAGAGUGACCCAGCAACGCCGCGUGGAGGAUGAAGGUAUUCAUAUCGUAAACUCCUAGUGAGAGCAGACGAAAGACAGAUAUAAUCUGGAUGACUGUAUGCUCAGAGGAAGCCCC